AGGCGUGUGGCGUAGUAAGUAGCGUCGCCCUUAAGCAUGGGAGAGGUCUCCGGUUCGAUUCCGGACUCGUCCA
rnacentral:tRNA from 1 species